AACCGGAUUAGAUACCCUGGUAGUCCACGCUGUAAACGGUGGGUACUAAGGUGUGGGGUCCAUUCCACGGGUUCCGUGCCGUAGCUAACGCUUUAAGUACCCCGCCUGGGGAGUACGGCCGCAAGGCUAAAACUCAAAGGAAUUGACGGGGCCCCGCACAAGCGGCGGAGCAUGCGGAUUAAUUCGAUGCAACGCGUAGAACCUUACCUGGGUUUGACAUGGAUCGGGAGCGCUCAGAGAUGGGUGUGCCUCUUUUGGGGUCGGUUCACAGGUGGUGCAUGGCUGUCGUCAGCUCGUGUCGUGAGAUGUUGGGUUAAGUCCCGCAACGAGCGCAACCCUUGUUCACUGUUGCCAGCACGUUAUGGUGGGGACUCAGUGGAGACCGCCGGGGUCAACUCGGAGGAAGGUGGGGAUGACGUCAAGUCAUCAUGCCCCUUAUGUCCAGGGCUUCACGCAUGCUACAAUGGCUGGUACAGAGAGUGGCGAGCCUGUGAGGGUGAGCGAAUCUCGGAAAGCCGGUCUCAGUUCGGAUUGGGGUCUGCAACUCGACCUCAUGAAGUCGGAGUCGCUAGUAAUCGCAGAUCAGCAACGCUGCGGUGAAUACGUUCCCGGGGCUUGUACACACCGCCCGUCAAGUCAUGAAAGUUGGUAACACCCGAAGCCGGUGGCCUAACCGUUGUGGGGGAGCCGUCGAA
rnacentral:rRNA from 1 species